CUGGAGGUAUCAGAAGUGCGAAUGCUGACAUAAGUAACGAUAAAGCGGGUGAAAAGCCCGCUCGCCGGAAGACCAAGGGUUCCUGUCCAACGUUAAUCGGGGCAGGGUGAGUCGACCCCUAAGGCGAGGCCGAAAGGCGUAGUCGAUGGGAAACAGGUUAAUAUUCCUGUACUUGGUGUUACUGCGAAGGGGGGACGGAGAAGGCUAUGUUGGCCGGGCGACGGUUGUCCCGGUUUAAGCGUGUAGGCUGGUUUUCCAGGCAAAUCCGGAAAAUCAAGGCUGAGGCGUGAUGACGAGGCACUACGGUGCUGAAGCAACAAAUGCCCUGCUUCCAGGAAAAGCCUCUAAGCAUCAGGUAACAUCAAAUCGUACCCCAAACCGACACAGGUGGUCAGGUAGAGAAUACCAAGGCGCUUGAGAGAACUCGGGUGAAGGAACUAGGCAAAAUGGUGCCGUAACUUCGGGAGAAGGCACGCUGAUAUGUAGGUGAAGCGACUUGCUCGUGGAGCUGAAAUCAGUCGAAGAUACCAGCUGGCUGCAACUGUUUAUUAAAAACACAGCACUGUGCAAACACGAAAGUGGACGUAUACGGUGUGACGCCUG
rnacentral:rRNA from 1 species